rnacentral:rRNA from 1 species
AUGGCGGCGGCGCGGGGGCAAAAGGCGCUGGCGACGCUGGUGAGGUCGCUGCGGAGCGAUUCCAUCUCCAACUCCAACGCUCCCAGGCUCAGGCACCUCCCGUCUCUCAGGAGGACCUUCUCGCUCUACGACCAGAUCAACCUCAUCGACAACGUCCCCGAAGACCAGCUCCGCUUCCAAACUUACGAUGACACUGGAUUCAAGAUUAACAAUGUAAAGUAUGAAGGGAGCUUGCUGAUAGUAGAAAACAAGAUAAUGACCUGGACACCCAAAACAUUUGCGGAUAUAACUGCUGAAAGUUUAUCAAUCUUCAAAGUUGUGCACCCAAUCCCAGAGAUUCUAAUUCUUGGUUGCGGGAAAUACGUCCAGCCAGUCAGUCCUGAGCUGCGCAAGUUCAUUCGGUCAACAGGGAUGAAACUGGAGGCCAUCGAUUCGAGGAAUGCGGCUUCGACCUAUAAUAUUCUGAACGAAGAGGGGAGGGCAGUGGCGGCCGCAGUUCUUCCGUUUGGGGUCGACUCUUGA